AUGAAGACCUGUAUGAAAGACAUCACGAGAGUUUAACUGUCUCUAUUUUCUAAUCAAUGAAAUUGAUCUAUUCGUGCAGAAGCGAAUAUAAUCACAUUAGACGAGAAGACCCUAUGGAGCUUCAAACACAUAAAUUAAUUAUGUAACCUUAUACCUCCCAGGAUAUAAACAAAACAUACAACACUUCUAAUUUAACUGUU
rnacentral:rRNA from 1 species